ACGGCUCAGUAACACGUGGAUAACCUGCCCUAAGGUGGAGGAUAACCCCGGGAAACUGGGGAUAAUACUCCAUAGGUUAAAGGUACUGGAAUGUUCUUUAACCGAAAGUUCCGGCGCCUUAGGAUGGAUCUGCGGCCGAUUAGGUUGUUGUUGGGGUAGUGGCCCAACAAGCCUGUAAUCGGUACGGGUUGUGGGAGCAAGAGCCCGGAGAUGGAAUCUGAGACACGAUUCCAGGCCCUACGGGGCGUAGCAGGCGCGAAAACUUUACAAUGCAGGAAACUGUGAUAAGGGAACCCCGAGUGCCCGUAUAUGCGGGCUGUCCGGAUGUUUAAAACGCAUCCGAAGAAAGGGCCGGGCAAGACCGGUGCCAGCCGCCGCGGUAAUACCGGCGGCUCGAGUGGUGGCCACUUUUAUUGGGCUUAAAGCGUUCGUAGCUUGAAUAAUAAGUCUCAUGGGAAAUCUGCAGGCUUAACCUGCACGCGUUUAAGAGAAACUGUUGUUCUAGGAACCGGAAGAGGUGAGAGGUACUCCGGGGGUAGGAGUGAAAUCCUGUAAUCCCCGGGGGACCACCGAUGGCGAACGCAUCUCACCACGACGGCUUCGGACAGUGAGGAACGAAAGCUGGGGGAGCGAACCGGAUUAGAUACCCCGGGUAGUCGCAGCCGUAAACGAUGUGCGUUAGGUGUGCCGGUGACCACGAGUCACUGGUGGUGCCGAAUGGCACAUCGUGAAACGUACUGCCUGGGAAUUACCGUCAGCUAACGCUGAAACUUAAA
rnacentral:rRNA from 1 species